UUUUUCCGCUAACUUGGCAGCCACUUUAAUCACAUCCCCAGCAGCUGUUGACCCAGCUCUGUGGCACUCUGUCUGACAACCUCUGACAGAUGCUAAUUUGUUAUCGUUACUUCCCGCAAACAGCGUCACCUGCAGGCAUGAUUGACACCACGGCAUGCCAAUCCAUCUGUCAUUGGAGACAGCGCUUGACUGAAGUGGUUUGGCUUAAAGUGGGAAGGUAAGGGGAAAAAAAAUUAUAUAUGGAUGGAAAUUUUAUUUAAGUUCCACUCUAGCAGGAAUCAGUUGAAGAAUACCAGUGAGCCAGAUUUGCACAUGAAGGCCACUGCAGUCCCUGGGAGGCUGAUAGCAUUUAUAGUCAGCAACAGCAAAAGAAAACCAAAGAUGCACACAAUGACUUGCUGACAUUAAGGUGCGAACAUGAAUUUUCUUAACCAGUUACAUGUUUGGAACAUUGUC
rnacentral:lncRNA from 1 species